GUCUUUUUGUAAGUAUAAAAAGUCCGGUCUGCCCACUGAUGAAAGUAUUAAAGGGCCGCAGUAUUUUAACUGUGCAAAGGUAGCAUAAUCACUAGUUCUUUAAUUGAGAUCUUGAAUGAAUGAUUAGACAAAAAAAUUACUGUCUUUAUGAUAAUAAUUGAAUUUAACUUUUAAGUGAAAAGGCUUAAAUAGUUUGAAGUGACGAUAAGACCCUAUAAAGCUUAAUAUUAUUAUAAAAUUUUUGGUAAGUUAAAUAUAAAGUUUUAAGGUUUAUUAAUAUUUUAUUGGGGCGAUAGAAGUAAAAGGUUUAAUAACUGCUUUUUUUUUAAUCAAGUAUAAAUGAUUAAUAUAUAAAUGAUCUUAUUUUAUAGAGUAAAAGAUUAAGUUACUUUAGGGAUAACAGCGUUAUUUUUCUUGAGAGUUCUUAUCGAAAGAAAAGAUUGCGACCUCGAUGUUGAAUUAAAAUAUCUAUAUAAUUGUAGUAGUUAUAUGAGAAGGUCUGUUCGACCUUUAAAUUUUUACGUGAUUUGAGUUCAGACCGGUUUAAACCAGGUCGGUUUCUAUCUUUUAAUUAAAUUGUAAUUAUUUUA
rnacentral:rRNA from 1 species